rnacentral:lncRNA from 1 species
GGGGCCUGGUAGCAAGCUUCACUGACAGCCACAGACAGCCCUUGCUAGGAGCACAGAUUGGGACCUCACAGUCCAGGCCCUCUCAUCCUCCCACCAAAGUCACAUCAUUCCCCUGUCCUCACCUCCUAGAGGAACCCAGUGGGGAGGCCCCCAGCUGUGGGUAGCAUUAAUACCCCCACAUAUAUCCAUCCCCCUGGGGAGAUGAGAGCACCCAGAAGACUUAACCGCAGCGGGAAAGAAAUUGUCCUUAAAACAGAUGAGCUUGGUCAGAAUGGAAACUCAUUUCCCCACCGGAGGAAAGCAAGGAAGAGAAACAGACAAGGAGGAAGAAAGAAGGCAGGAACAAGGCCUGGAGCUCUUGUCGUCAUGAAGGCACCAGGAGAAAACAAGAUGAACCCAAAAGGACUCCUCCC